CGAAGGAAGUGGGCGAACGGGGGAGUAAUACAUAAGCAACCUAACCCCAAAAGAACUGGGAUAAUCUCUGGAAACGGGGACUAAUACCGGAUAGGUAAUCGGAAGGCAUCUUCUGGUUAUUAAAGGUUAAAAACACUGGUGGAUGGGCUUAUGGCGCAUUAGUUAGUUGGUGAGGUAACGGCCCACCAAGACGAUGAUGCGUAGCCGGCCUGAGAGGGUGAACGGCCACAUUGGGACUGAGACACGGCCCAG
rnacentral:rRNA from 1 species